rnacentral:rRNA from 1 species
UACGGGGGGGGCAAGCGUUGUUCGGAAUUACUGGGCGUAAAGGGCUCGUAGGUGGCCAACUAAGUCAGACGUGAAAUCCCUCGGCUUAACUGGGGAACUGCGUCUGAGACUGGUGAGCUUGAGUGCAGGAGAGGAACGCGGAAUUCCAGGUGUAGCGGUGAAAUGCGUAGAUAUCUGGAGGAACACCGGUGGCGAAGGCGGCGUUCUGGACUGCUACUGACACUGAGGAACGAAAGCCAGGGGAGCAAACGGG